GUCACUCAUGUCAAGGAUUAUCGAUCUAGGGUGUUUGGAUUGAUCAAGUCGUUGAAGUAUUUGGAUAAGAUGGACGCGGAGGAGAACGAGAGGCCGGAAUCUGAUGACGAGGAGGACGACGAAGAUGACGAGGAGGAUGAUCCUGGGAGUGGUGAAAUCGAUGGUGAGGAUCGGCCAUUUAGGAUGACCAAUGGCCACAGUGAGGCGGUUGAAGGUGUUGUUGAUGUUGAUGAGGAUGACGAGAGUGAUGCAGACGAGGAAGAGACUGUGACUGCGACGAGGGUGAAUGGACAAAAUCACCAGACAGCAAAUGGAUUUCGGGUUGCUGCUGUGGCUGGUGAAGAGGGAGAUGAGGAUGAGGAGGGAGACGAUGAUGAAGAGAAUGAUUCUGGUGAAGAAAUCGAUGAAGAGGAUGUUGAUGAUGACGAUGUGGUGGAGGUUCAAGAGAUUGAGGAUAGUGACGAUGAGGAAGAUGGGGUUGAGUAUGAUGAGGAGGAUGAUGACGACGAUGAUGAAGAUGACGAAGAAGAGGAGGUGGACAAUGAUGAAGGGGAUCUUGCAGAGCCGGAGAGUACAGGGAGGUUGACGAGCACGGAAGGAGAGAUUGAUGGACAUGAACAAGGGGAGGAUGAUGCGGAUGAGGAUGAUAAUGGAGAGACCGGG
rnacentral:lncRNA from 1 species